rnacentral:rRNA from 1 species
UACGAAGGGGGCUAGCGUUGUUCGGAUUUACUGGGCGUAAAGCGCGUGUAGGCGGGCUGAUAAGUUGGGGGUGAAAUCCCGAGGCUCAACCUCGGAACUGCCUCCAAAACUGUCAGCCUGGAGCAAAGUAGAGGCGAGUGGAAUUGCGAGUGUAGAGGUGAAAUUCGUAGAUAUUCGCAGGAACACCAGUGGCGAAGGCGACUCGCUGGACUUUUGCUGGCGCUGAGACGCGAAAGCGUGGGGAGCAAACAGG